rnacentral:rRNA from 1 species
AGAGUUUGAUCCUGGCUCAGGACGAACGCUGGCGGCGCGCCUAACACAUGCAAGUCGAACGAGCGAGAGAGAGCUUGCUUUCUCGAGCGAGUGGCGAACGGGUGAGUAACGCGUGAGGAACCUGCCUCAAAGAGGGGGACAACAGUUGGAAACGACUGCUAAUACCGCAUAAGCCCACGGGUCGGCAUCGAGCAGAGGGAAAAGGAGCAAUCCGCUUUGAGAUGGCCUCGCGUCCGAUUAGCUAGUUGGUGAGGUAACGGCCCACCAAGGCGACGAUCGGUAGCCGGACUGAGAGGUUGAACGGCCACAUUGGGACUGAGACACGGCCCAGACUCCUACGGGAGGCAGCAGUGGGGAAUAUUGCACAAUGGGGGAAACCCUGAUGCAGCGACGCCGCGUGGAGGAAGAAGGUCUUCGGAUUGUAAACUCCUGUUGUUGAGGAAGAUAAUGACGGUACUCAACAAGGAAGUGACGGCUAACUACGUGCCAGCAGCCGCGGUAAAACGUAGGUCACAAGCGUUGUCCGGAAUUACUGGGUGUAAAGGGAGCGCAGGCGGGAAGACAAGUUGGAAGUGAAAUCCAUGGGCUCAACCCAUGAACUGCUUUCAAAACUGUUUUUCUUGAGUAGUGCAGAGGUAGGCGGAAUUCCCGGUGUAGCGGUGGAAUGCGUAGAUAUCGGGAGGAACACCAGUGGCGAAGGCGGCCUACUGGGCACCAACUGACGCUGAGGCUCGAAAGUGUGGGUAGCAAACAGGAUUAGAUACCCUGGUAGUCCACACCGUAAACGAUGAUUACUAGGUGUUGGAGGAUUGACCCCUUCAGUGCCGCAGUUAACACAAUAAGUAAUCCACCUGGGGAGUACGACCGCAAGGUUGAAACUCAAAGGAAUUGACGGGGGCCC